AAAAAAAAAAAAGAAUAGAAAAUUGUGAUGACCGUAGCACACAUGUCCAUUCGUUCCCUGUGUUCAUUCAGUUUUUUUUUUUUUUUUUUUUUUU
rnacentral:ribozyme from 1 species